AUGCAUGGGGAAUGGUCGGGAUAGCUCAGCUGGUAAAGCAAAGGACUGAAAAUCCUCG
rnacentral:tRNA from 1 species